rnacentral:rRNA from 1 species
UACGGGGGGGGGCAAGCGUUGUUCGGAAUUACUGGGCGUAAAGGGCGCGUAGGCGGCCUGCUAAGUCGAACGUGAAAUCCCUGGGCUCAACCCAGGAACUGCGUCCGAUACUGGUUGGCUUGAAUCCGGGAGAGGGAUGUGGAAUUCCAGGUGUAGCGGUGAAAUGCGUAGAUAUCUGGAGGAACACCGGUGGCGAAGGCGACAUCCUGGACCGGUAUUGACGCUGAGGUGCGAAAGCGUGGGGAGCAAACAGG